UCGGCGUUGGUGCGGCCGUGCUGUCGCCGCUGUGGCCGGCGGGGGCCGAGUUCGUGGCCUGGCUGGGGCACUGGCCGGCCCGCUGGC
rnacentral:tRNA from 1 species